CUCUUUUUAAGUUAAUAAGUUGUAGUACCACAUUUUUAAUAUAAUCAUGGAAUUCUUUUUCUUAAUACACUGUGGUAUGUUCACAUAUGUACAUAAGAUAGUUUGGUCAGCUUCAUUCCACCAUUCUUUUCUUUUUCUGUCUUUUUGCUCUUCCUCUCUCCCUCAAUCCCUUUCCUCUACUCUACUGAUCUCUCUUCUAUUUUACUGGUACUCCCCCAUCACUUUUACUUUUUUGAGGGGGUAGGGGUUCCAGGGAUUGAACCCAGGGGCACUUAAACCUUGAGCCACAUCCUCAGCCCUUUAUACAUUUUAGUUUGAGACAGGGUCUCACUGAGUUGCUUAGGGACCCGCUAAGUUGCUGAGGCUGGCUUUGAACUUGUGAUCAUACUGCCUCCAUCUCCUGAGCUGCUAAGAGUAAAGGCAUGCACCACUUGUUCCCAGGAAGUACACUGAUUUUGCAUAAUCACAUAAAAUGCAGAUAUAAGUAAAUACUAUGAUGCUAGUCAUUAAAAAAAGGUUUCUUAUUUCUUUGCUUUUUAAAAUGUAGAUUGUUUUAUGAUAAUUUGUAUGAUCCAAGUCUUUUUUUAAGUUAAUAAUUAGUAGUGUCACAUUUUUAAUAAAAUCAUGGAAUUCUUUUUCUUAAUAAAAUUUGAUGUAAAAAAUAGAAUUUAAAAUGACUCCAUUGACAUCAUAACUGUCAAAAAGUACAAAAGUGGGCUGGGGAUGUGGCUCAAGCGGUAACACACUUGCCUCACAUGCGCAGGGCGCUGAGUUUGAUGCUCAGCACCACUUAAAAAUAAAAUAAAAAUGUUGUGUCC
rnacentral:lncRNA from 1 species